AAUAGCAUAAAGAGAUUCCUCUCAAAGAAAUGGAAAAAGAACUAGCAGAUUGGCAGCUUUAUGACAUCUGUCUUCACAGUUAGAUGUCCUUCAAAACCAUCACAGUCUCCUGUGUAUACACAAAGAAUAGACACACACAGACACACACACAACCAUCACAGGUCUCCUGUGUAUAUAAUAUACCCAACAAAAGACAACACACAUACACACACACCUGUUUCUCAGAGCCAAAGAAAGUGCUGGCUCUUCCAUGUCCUGUAUGAAGAAGGAGCUUAGAAGCCCAGAGGCUGAUAAAUCAGAACAAUGAGCAGGGCCCGAAAGGAGUGUCUGUGCCAACACAGGAUUUCACCGUCUGUAUUCUGGCUGUGUGGUCAUUGUGUGGAUAAACAUGAUUCUGACCUCAGAUAAUUUACCUUGAGUUCACCCAGACCAAUCUUUUAUUUUACAAAAAAAGAAAAUGUAAGUCCAGAGUUUUGGGAACUUGCCUAAAGUAACAUGAGUUGGAAGGACACCUAGGUGUAGGCAGGCCUCUCUCUGCACCAAGCAAUGUCAAGUCAAGCAUUCUGUAACAGCAGCCAGUGUUAAUGGUCUGAAGCAUGGUACAGAAACAGUAAUAAACUGUAAGAUUUCCCCACAAAUAUUUGGUAAGUGUAAACGACAUUAUCUAGAUUUGCUGUAAACUACAACAGAAAAGGGGAGAGGGAGAGGCUGAGAAUAAGACUGAUCAGUAAAGCUGGUCAUUUCUGAAGCUGGAGAUGGUUACAUGAGUUCAUCAUUUCUUCUCUCUACUUUUU